rnacentral:rRNA from 1 species
AUUGAACGCUGGCGGCAUGCCUUACACAUGCAAGUCGAACGGCAGCACGGGCAACCUGGUGGCGAGUGGCGAACGGGUGAGUAAUGCAUCGGAACGUACCUUUCAGUGGGGGAUAACGUAGCGAAAGUUACGCUAAUACCGCAUAUUCUGUGAGCAGGAAAGCAGGGGAUCGCAAGACCUUGCGCUGAUUGAGCGGCCGAUGUCAGAUUAGCUAGUUGGUGAGGUAAAGGCUCACCAAGGCGACGAUCUGUAGCGGGUCUGAGAGGAUGAUCCGCCAAACUGGAACUGAGACACGGUCCAGACUCCUACGGGAGGCAGCAGUGGGGAAUUUUGGACAAUGGGGGCAACCCUGAUCCAGCCAUGCCGCGUGAGUGAAGAAGGCCUUCGGGUUGUAAAGCUCUUUCGGCCGGGAAGAAAUCGCACGGGCUAAUACCCUGUGUGGAUGACGGUACCGGAAUAAGAAGCACCGGCUAACUACGUGCCAGCCGCCGCAGUAACAC